rnacentral:rRNA from 2 species
GUCGAACGAACUCUGGUAUUGAUUGGUGCUUGCAUCAUGAUUUACAUUUGAGUGAGUGGCGAACUGGUGAGUAACACGUGGGAAACCUGCCCAGAAGCGGGGGAUAACACCUGGAAACAGAUGCUAAUACCGCAUAACAACUUGGACCGCAUGGUCCGAGUUUGAAAGAUGGCUUCGGCUAUCACUUUUGGAUGGUCCCGCGGCGUAUUAGCUAGAUGGUGAGGUAACGGCUCACCAUGGCAAUGAUACGUAGCCGACCUGAGAGGGUAAUCGGCCACAUUGGGACUGAGACACGGCCCAAACUCCUACGGGAGGCAGCAGUAGGGAAUCUUCCACAAUGGACGAAAGUCUGAUGGAGCAACGCCGCGUGAGUGAAGAAGGGUUUCGGCUCGUAAAACUCUGUUGUUGAAGAAGAACAUAUCUGAGAGUAACUGUUCAGGUAUUGACGGUAUUUAACCAGAAAGCCACGGCUAACUACGUGCCAGCAGCCGCGGUAAUACGUAGGUGGCAAGCGUUGUCCGGAUUUAUUGGGCGUAAAGCGAGCGCAGGCGGUUUUUUAAGUCUGAUGUGAAAGCCUUCGGCUCAACCGAAGAAGUGCAUCGGAAACUGGGAAACUUGAGUGCAGAAGAGGACAGUGGAACUCCAUGUGUAGCGGUGAAAUGCGUAGAUAUAUGGAAGAACACCAGUGGCGAAGGCGGCUGUCUGGUCUGUAACUGACGCUGAGGCUCGAAAGUAUGGGUAGCAAACAGGAUUAGAUACCCUGGUAGUCCAUACCGUAAACGAUGAAUGCUAAGUGUUGGAGGGUUUCCGCCCUUCAGUGCUGCAGCUAACGCAUUAAGCAUUCCGCCUGGGGAGUACGGCCGCAAGGCUGAAACUCAAAGGAAUUGACGGGGGCCCGCACAAGCGGUGGAGCAUGUGGUUUAAUUCGAAGCUACGCGAAGAACCUUACCAGGUCUUGACAUACUAUGCAAAUCUAAGAGAUUAGACGUUCCCUUCGGGGACAUGGAUACAGGUGGUGCAUGGUUGUCGUCAGCUCGUGUCGUGAGAUGUUGGGUUAAGUCCCGCAACGAGCGCAACCCUUAUUAUCAGUUGCCAGCAUUAAGUUGGGCACUCUGGUGAGACUGCCGGUGACAAACCGGAGGAAGGUGGGGAUGACGUCAAAUCAUCAUGCCCCUUAUGACCUGGGCUACACACGUGCUACAAUGGAUGGUACAACGAGUUGCGAACUCGCGAGAGUAAGCUAAUCUCUUAAAGCCAUUCUCAGUUCGGAUUGUAGGCUGCAACUCGCCUACAUGAAGUCGGAAUCGCUAGUAAUCGCGGAUCAGCAUGCCGCGGUGAAUACGUUCCCGGGCCUUGUACACACCGCCCGUCACACCAUGAGAGUUUGUAACACCCAAAGUCGGUGGGGUAACCU